CAGCCGCCGCGGGAAUACAGAGGGUGCGAGCGUUGUUCGGAAUUACUGGGCGUAAAGCGCACGUAGGCGGACAUUUAAGUCAGGGGUGAAAUCCCGGGGCUCAACCCCGGAACUGCCUUUGAUACUGGGUGUCUUGAGUGUGGAAGAGGUCAGUGGAAUUGCGAGUGUAGAGGUGAAAUUCGUAGAUAUUCGCAGGAACACCAGUGGCGAAGGCGGCUGACUGGUCCACAACUGACGCUGAGGUGCGAAAGCGUGGGGAGCAAACAGGAUUAGAUACCCCGGUAGUCCCUGUCUCUUAUAC
rnacentral:rRNA from 1 species